GAUUAACGCUAGCGGCAGGCCUAAUACAUGCAAGUCGAACGGCAGCGGGUCCAGCAAUGGAUGCCGGCGAGUGGCGCACGGGUGCGUAACACGUAUGCAAUCUACCCUUAACUGGGGGACAGCCCCGAGAAAUCGGGAUUAUUACCCCAUAAUAUUAUGAUGAGGCAUCUCAUUAUAAUUAAAGCUCCGGUGGUUUUGGAUGAGCAUGCGCGACAUUAGUUAGUUGGUGGGGUAACGGCUCACCAAGGCAGCGAUGUCUAGGGGUUCUGAGAGGAUUCACCCCCACACUGGUACCGAGACACGGACCAGACUCCUACGGGAGGCAGCAGUAGGGAAUUUUGGACAAUGGGCGCAAGCCUGAUCCAGCAAUGCCGCGUGCAGGAUGAAGGCCUUCGGGUUGUAAACUGCUUUUGUACGGAACGAAACGGUGAGCUCUAAUACAGUUUGCUAAUGACGGUACCGUAAGAAUAAGCACCGGCUAACUACGUGCCAGCCGCCGCUGUAA
rnacentral:rRNA from 1 species